UACGGGGGGGGCAAGCGUUGUUCGGAAUUACUGGGCGUAAAGGGCUCGUAGGCGGCCAACUAAGUCAGACGUGAAAUCCCUCGGCUUAACCGGGGAACUGCGUCUGAUACUGGAUGGCUUGAGGUUGGGAGAGGGAUGCGGAAUUCCAGGUGUAGCGGUGAAAUGCGUAGAUAUCUGGAGGAACACCGGUGGCGAAGGCGGCAUCCUGGACCAUAACUGACGCUGAGGCGCGAAAGCUAGGGGAGCAAACGGG
rnacentral:rRNA from 1 species